CCCGCUGAACUUAAGCAUAUCAAUAAGCGGAGGAAAAGAAACCAACAGGGAUUACCCUAGUAACGGCGAGUGAAGCGGUAAUAGCUCAAAUUUUAAAUCUGGCCUUCACGGGUCCGAGUUGUAAUUUGUAGAGGAUGUUUCGGGCAAGGCUAUGGUUUAAGUUUCUUGGAACAGAACGUCAUAGAGGGUGAGAAUCCCGUCUAGAACCGAUGGCCGCGUCCAUGUGAACUUCCUUCGACGAGUCGAGUUGUUUGGGAAUGCAGCUCAAAAUGGGUGGUAAAUUUCAUCUAAAGCUAAAUAUUGGCCAGAGACCGAUAGCGCACAAGUAGAGUGAUCGAAAGAUGAAAAGCACUUUGAAAAGAGAGUUAAACAGUAUGUGAAAUUGUUGAAAGGGAAGCGCUUGCAACCAGACUUGUGUAUCGUGGUUCCCUCGGUCUUCUGAUCGGGUUACUCCAUGAUAUCCAGGCCAGCAUCGGUUCGGGUGGUUGGUUAAAGGUCCUGGGAAUGUAUCUACCUUCGGGUCGACUUAUAGCCCAGGGCGUAAUGCAGCCUACCUGGACCGAGGAACGCGCUUUUGCUCGGAUGCUGGCGUAAUGGUUGUAAGCGGCCCGUCUUGAAACACGG
rnacentral:rRNA from 1 species